CUCAGUAACUCUUAUUUUAUUUGAUGUAUUAGGAUUAUAACUAUGUUAAAUUAUAGAUAACAAUAAUACAAUAAGAAUAAGAUCUAUCAGUUAGUUGUUAAGGUAAUGGCUUAACAAGACUAUGACGGAUAACGGUAUUACUUUGUAAUAUUCCGGAGAAGGAGCCUGAGAGAUUGCUACUAAGUCUAAGGAUUGCAGCAGGGGCGAAACUUGACCUAUGAUAUGAUAUUGAGGCAGUUAUGAGUAGUAUUUUUAAUUAUUG
rnacentral:rRNA from 1 species